UUAGAGUUUGAUCCUGGCUCAGAGCGAACGCUGGCGGCAGGCUUAACACAUGCAAGUCGAGCGGGCCCUUCGGGGUCAGCGGCAGACGGGUGAGUAACGCGUGGGAACGUGCCCUUCGGUUCGGAAUAACCCUGGGAAACUAGGGCUAAUACCGGAUACGCCCCUUGGGGGAAAGGUUUACUGCCGAAGGAUCGGCCCGCGUCUGAUUAGCUAGUUGGUGAGGUAACGGCUCACCAAGGCGACGAUCAGUAGCUGGUCUGAGAGGAUGAUCAGCCACACUGGGACUGAGACACGGCCCAGACUCCUACGGGAGGCAGCAGAAGGG
rnacentral:rRNA from 1 species